rfam:Oryza glumipatula chromosome 2, whole genome shotgun sequence.
AAUAAGUACAGUUUUACACUAUAUACGUUCAAAAUUUGACCGUUCGUCUUAUUUAAAAAUUUUGUAUGAUUAGUAUUUUUAUUGCUAUUAGAUAAUAAAACAUGAAUAGUACUUUAUGUGUGACUAAAUAUUUUUAAAUUUUUCGCAAAUUUUUUAAAUAAGACGGACGGUUAAAUGUUGGGUACGGAUAUUCACGGCUGCACUUAUU